rnacentral:rRNA from 1 species
CCGAAUACAUUAGCAUGGGAUAAUGGAAUAGGACCCUGUCCUCCUAUUUACGUGUUGGUUUUUGAGGACCAGGGUAAUGAUUAAUAGGGAUAGUUGGGGGCAUUAAUAUUUAAUUGUCAGAGGUGAAAUUCUUGGAUUUAUGAAAGAUUAACUUCUGCGAAAGCAUCUGCCAAGGAUGUUUUCAUUAAUCAAGAACGAAAGUUAGGGGAUCGAAGACGAUCAGAUACCGUCGUAGUCUUAACCAUAAACGAUGCCGACCAGCGAUUAGGAGACGUUGAAUACAAAACACCACCAUUAACACGAUCGUUUUUUGCAAAUAUGCCACAUACGCAAGUGUGUGGUUGUGUUUGAAGGAACGAUUUGUCUUAAUGGCCCGGUGAAUGACUCCCCUAGCAGCUUGUGAGAAAUCAUAAGU